rnacentral:tRNA from 1 species
GCGAGUAUAGCUUAGUUGGUCAAAGCGACAGACUGUGAAUCUGUGAUCACGAGUUCGAUUCUCGUUUCUCGCC